CUUCGGAAAUGAGAGAGCGGCGUACGGGUGCGGAACACGUGUGCAACCUACCUUUAUCUGGAGGAUAGCCUUUCGAAAAGGAAGAUUAAUACUCCAUAAUAUAUUGACUGGCAUCAGUUGAUAUUGAAAGCUCCGGCGGAUAAAGAUGGGCACGCGCAAGAUUAGCUAGUUGGUGAGGUAACGGCUCACCAAGGCGAUGAUCUUUAGGGGCCUGAGAGGGUGAUCCCCCCACACUGGUACUGAGACACGGACCAGACUCCUACGGGAGGCAGCAGUGAGGAAUAUUGGUCAAUGGGUGCAAGCCUGAACCAGCCAUCCCCGCGUGAAGGACGACUGCCCUAUGGGUUGUAAACUUCUUUUGUAUAGGGAUAAACCUACUCUCGUGAGGGUAGCUGAAGGUACUAUACGAAUAAGCACCGGCUAACUCCGUG
rnacentral:rRNA from 1 species